UUCUUUGACAUUGUAAUUUUUUUAGACCAAUGCACUUCUUCAAAUGAAAACACACAACCUUUUAACAUUAAUUGAAAUUGCUAUUAUUAGUAGAUUAGGUCACCGAAACUUAGGUUUAAUUAAACCACCAGGGCCGUGCCUGGGUUUUCUAAGGUCAGAAGCAGUCAAAAAAAUUUGGCCCCAAAAAAAGUAUUAAGUUGGUUUGAAAUCCUGACCUUCACAAAUGAAACAGUUUAUUCAGCCACUGA
rnacentral:lncRNA from 1 species